rnacentral:lncRNA from 1 species
CGAACUCAGGUCCUUGCGCUUGAUUUCUCUUGUUUCUUUAGAAAAGCAGUAACUCUCACUCAUAGACUUGAAGGCACAGAUGUAGUGGGCUCUUUGGUUAUGGUUUGUUUUUGGUUUUGGAAAUAAGUGCUAGGUAGCAGAUCUUGACAGUUAUUUCUUGUAGAACAUUGGGAAAUAAAAAUGGCCAUUUCCUAUGUGUUCAAUACAGCGUCUCAUUUUAGGCCUUUUCCAGGAGACUGCUAAAUGACAGGGCAAAGAUUUCAUACUCAUUCUUUCUGUGACUGCAAAGAAUUACAAAUUUGUAGCAAUGAACAGAUUUGUAUUUGUGCAGUGGGUGGCAUAACUAUGAAGAAAAUGAAUGGCAACUGUGAUGUUACCUUUGUUUCCUAGAAACUCCUCACAUACUACAUGUGACAGGUGACUUCUGACACAGUGUCCGAGUGACCAUGCCAGGUCAUUCAUAUGAGGAAAGCUUAGGACUCUGCAGAUGAAUCCUUUCCCUCCGCCUACAUCCUGUGUGGUAGUAGUGGGGAUCGAACUUGGGUCCUUGUGCUUGAGCAGCAGCAGCAGCACCAGAAAAAGAAGAAGAAGAGGAGGAGGAGGAGGAGGAGCAAGAAGAAGAAGAGGAGGAGAAGAAGAAGAGGAAGAAGAAAGAAGAGGAGGAGGAAGCAGAAGAAGCAACUUUUCAAUUGUGGGCAGAAAUCCCAAGACCAAACUGGUUGUUUCUUCUAGAAAGAUGACUCUUUAAGUUAUUAUCAUUCUCCUUCCAGGGUGCUGUUCAGGGACAGGCCUGGCAAAAUAAAACUGCUACUGGAGAGAUUGUGCCUCUGUUUACUAGGGGUCAUUUUGGUUUGGUGGGGGUUUUUUGGCACUGGAGAUGGGACUUGGGACCCUGUGCUCGCGAGGCAGGCAGCGGAACCACUGAGCUAAAUCCCUGGCCCUGGUUGUUUUGUUUUUGAAACAGAGUCUGGCUGAGUUAUCCAGGCUAGCUUGGAGCUCUCUACACUCCUUUCUCAGCCUCCUGAGUAGCUGGGGUUACUGGCACAUAACACUAUACCUGGC